rnacentral:rRNA from 1 species
AGGGCACCACCAGGAGUGGAGCCUGCGGCUUAAUUUGACUCAACACGGGAAAACUCACCCGGCCCGGACACUGGAAGGAUUGACAGAUUGAGAGCUCUUUCUUGAUUCAGUGGGUGGUGGUGCAUGGCCGUUCUUAGUUGGUGGAGUGAUUUGUCUGGUUAAUUCCGAUAACGAACGAGACUCUAGCCUACUAAAUAGUCGCGGGCGUUCUCGUACCGCCCGUCGGCUUCUUAGAGGGACAGGCGGCGUCUUAGCCGCAUGAGAAAGAGCAAUAACAGGUCUGUGAUGUCCUUAGAUGUCCGGGGCUGCACACGCACUACACUGAAAUAAUCAAGGCGCAUGCGCCCACCUACCCCUAAAGGGGCGGGAAACCCAGUGAACCUUUUUCGUGUCUGGGAGUGGGAAUUGUAAUUAUUUUCCAUGAACGAGGAAUUCCCAGUAAGCACAAGUCAUCAGCUUGUGUUGAUUACGUCCCUGCCCUUUGUACAUACCGCCUGUCUCUACUACCGAUUGGAUGUU